UACCCUGUGUUAUUUUUCUUGAAGCCUGAGAGUACAUUAUGUCUGUUUGCUUAUUAUCAAUCUCCCUAACUGUAAUAGAAACUCCUUGAGGCAAACACAUCUCCCCUCUUAUUUACUGUGCUACUGUGCUAUCCCCAACACUCCAACACUUGAAAAGUAUUACAUACUUUUCAAUAAAUGUGUUUUGAAUGAUUAAGUGAAUGAAUUAAAAUUAAUACCCAACAGAGAACUCACUAUGUAUGUAUGUAUAUAUGUAUGUAUGUAUGUGCAUGUAAAUAUCCAUAGUAUAAAAGCUUAACCCCACUUUUUUCCUUCAAUAGAUUUGGCAUUGCUCACAUAGGCACAGGUUAAAUAUGGAGGAGGAAAUGGAGAAUAAGACGAUUCUGUUAUAGAGAUCAUCUAAAGCAGAAGCACCUGACUUCUUUUGCCCAUUUACCUGCUACAUCCCAAGAGAGAAGGAAUUACUAAUAUGAUUAGUCAGAUGACACUCCAAGAGCCUGCCAGCAGGUCAUAUGCUUUCUGCUGCCAUAGCCUACCUGGGGUACCCUGGUCUGCUAGGAUUUGUCAGGUCGUGAAUCAGAGUGAAGCUGGAACAGGAAAGAUUGUGAGUCUAACUGUCUUGUUCCUCCACCAAGCGCGACAACACUUAGUCAUCGUCAGUGCACUUGUGUGAAUUAAUCCAUAUCUGUGGCUUGGGAAAUGAAGAGUUUUGAUAAAAAGUAACAAAUUCCUAUUUUAAGCCUUCCAAAUGAGUACUUUCUACACACGCAUCAUUGGUUUCAGAAAUGGAAAUAUUUAAGAUUACAAAUGAUGC